AAUAAAGUCAGCUGUUUCGGUUUCUUAUUCUUCCUCCGUAGGCCUCAUCUUGUUGUUCUGCUUAUACUACCUUCCUUUUCCCUCUUUCUCCUCCCCUUGCCACAGUUAAAAUUCAUUCCUUUUGAUCUUCAAAAUUUUUUAUAUUUUGCUUGAUUUUCUAUUCCAUUUUUUUGUUAAAUUUUUUUACUUGUGCCUAUGGUUUUGUAAUCUUUUUACAGUAUAUAACCUUCACAUCCUCCAUUAACUUUGGAGUUCCCCUUCUUCUCCAUCAUCUUCAAUUUUAGUUGUGCAUCCUGAAGGAUUCAUGGAAAUUCAAGAUAGAUGGAUAGAAGUGACUAUACAUUGAAGAGUCAUGAAGAAUCAUCAUUCUACAAACAUCAAAUUAUCAACAUUGAAGGAUUGGUGGUGGCAACAAUAAUACUUAUUUAGUGAAGAUUUUAAUUUUCUUUAUUAUAUUAUUGUUGAUAGUUAUAUAUAAAAAGGCUGAAACUGAUGGCAAGUUAAGAAGAAAUAGGAGAAGUAACCAAAGUCAUAUUGUUGGAUAAUUUAUGAGAGAAUUUCCUAAUGUAUAUUGCAUACAUGUCGAGUUUAUGAAAAUCUGUUGUGAAUAGGAGAAAAUGUAUUGUUUUUACGAUC